rnacentral:rRNA from 1 species
CCUACGGGAGGCAGCAGUAGGGAAUAUUGCGCAAUGGGGGCAACCCUGACGCAGCGACGCCGCGGGAGUGAUGAAGGCCUUUCUGGUUGUAAAGCUCUGUAAAGAGGGAAGAAUGUCAGGCGGUAAUGCGUCUGAGUGACGGUACCUCUGAAGUAAGGACCGGCUAAACACGUGCCAGCAGCCGCGGUAAUACGUGUGGUCCUAGCGUUGUCCGGAAUAACUGGGCGUAAAGGGUGUGUAGGCGGAUAUCCGUGUCAGGUGUGAAAUCCCCCGGCUUAACUGGGGCAUUGCGCUUGAAACUGGAUAUCUGGAGCGUGUCAGGGGUAAGCGGAAUUCCCGGAGUAGCGGUGAAAUGCGUAGAUAUCGGGAAGAACACCGGUGGCGAAGGCGGCUUACUGGGACAUGGCUGACGCUGAGGCACGAAAGCGUGGGGAGCGAACGGGAUUAGAUACCCCGGUAGUCCACGCUGUAAACGAUGGAUACUAGAUGUCUGUUGCAUUAAAGCAGUUGGUAUCGAAGUUAACACGAUAAGUAUCCCGCCUGGGGAGUACGGUCGCAAGAUUAAAACUCAAAGGAAUUGACGG